AGUGUUAAACCCUGUGCCGGGUGCUACAGAGAGGACAGGCAUAGUCUUUGACCUCAUGGAGCUUACAGAGCCGGCAGUCUAUCAUGAGGAGAGCAUGGACUUCAGAGCUAGGACGUUGGAAGCAACGCUAUCGGGAGAAAUCGUAUCCCAGAGUGACAGCGGAGGUUUCCCUGGGAUGUGUUUUGUGCGCUUUGAGCAGAGGCUGUGCUGAGGGACUGCCUUUCCAGGGUGACGGCUGCACUCCCACCGCAGAGGACAAGGAGCAGAGCUAAUGGGGGGCACCGGCGAGUGGGAAGUCACUGCUGAUUGCAAUUAGAACAAAGGAGUCUGGAAGGCUCAAGUCCCACCUGCAGACUGUCUUCAGCCAUCUCUGGGGAAUGGGAAGAAGUGUGUGUACGCCAGGGAGAGCCGCAGGAGCGGCCCCGAGCAGAGAGCACCAGUUAUCAGGAAAUGGGGGGCAUCCGUCAGGAUUCUCUAGAGAAA